UUAUUAUGAUGAUAUUCCAUUGAAAGGUCCGUGUUUCUGAAACACCUAUGAUUGAUGGAACUUCUGAUUCC